UACGUAGGGUGCGAGCGUUGUCCGGAAUUAUUGGGCGUAAAGGGCUCGUAGGCGGUUUUGUUGCGUCGGGAGUGAAAAACACCGGGGCUUAACUCGGUGCUUGCUUCCGAUACGGGCAGACUAGAGGCAUGCAGGGGAGAACGGAAUUCCUGGUGUAGCGGUGAAAUGCGCAGAUAUCAGGAGGAACACCCGGUGGCGAAGGCGGUUCUCUGGGCAUGUCCUGACGCUGAGGAGCGAAAGUGUGGGGAGCGAACAGG
rnacentral:rRNA from 1 species